CAGCAUCCUGCAGCAGCUGUGUGUCCACCUCGUCCACCGGCAGCUGCACAUAGCGCACCACGGAUCCACGGAUGAAACAGUUCUUCACUGACAGCUGUGGGUGAGACACGGGUGCUCAAGUGAAAAGACUUCACUAUAUACAGAGCCACUGCCACUCACCAUGUGUGGGUAUUUCUCGGUGUCCGUCACGUUGAUGUCCGUCAGCUUGAUGUUGAGGUACUGGUCGACGGAGUGAAGUGUGCCACAUAUGCUGGAAAAUAUUCAAAGAUGCGAUGUUCGAGCGUAGCGCAGUUCACAACACAUGGCGGUCUCCUAUUGGUUGGCUGACUCGCCUCCUCCACCAAGGCCCUCUACCCUCUCUCACACCCUCCCACACCACCAUGGACACCUGCACCACCUCCUCACAGCUCACAGGAGGUGUGCAAUGCAUGGCUGCCGGUAGGGUCCUGUGUUGAAGUGCUGCUGUUGGUUGACAACUUUCACCUGUCUGUGAGACUGAAGAUGAACCACACACUACUAACCUAACCUUCAGAGGCUGCUCUCCAGGGGAAGCACAAGGAGGAAGAUAAAAUUCAGCAUCCCAGUGAAUAAUGGAGUGAGUGACCGCCACUGCCUUGAAUACUUUACUGGUGCACUGGUCGGCAUAUGCACGAAAAAGCAAGAACAGAAACUUGGCCAUACCAUUUUUUUCUGUAGCCAAGACCUUGAAUUUCAGAAGCACCACUUGUUGUGUUUCCAGUGCUUGAUGAGUCUCCUUUACCUUUCUUUUGAGGAGAGCUCCCUGAGGAUGUAGUCAGGUGCUUCUUCCUGUGUGCAUAGUAAGUGUGUCUGUAUGCUGUGGCGUAUCCACACACCUCACAACGGAAGGGCUUCUCACCUAAAAAGAGACAAACAAUUAGUGGUAUAUUUCCUGAAAGAUUUGGAUCAAUUAGAGUUACUUCUUGUUGGCUGAUCAGCGCUCCCUAAAACACAGUUCUAUAUCAUGCUCAAACUUUGCUCACAGCUUCCUCUGCCUGUAAAAAAGUUUCAAAAAUUCUAGUUCCAUGUCAUUUUGGAUCUUUUUUAGGAUCACAAAAUGAAUACCACAUCUGUUGCAUCAGUGCCCAAAUAAUUUUUACAUUUUAACUAUCCACUCUUCCACAACUGAAAUAAUUGCUGCUCUGAAAAGCUUCCCCAGGGUCAAUAAAAUUUUCAAUGUAGCAUCAGAGAGCU